GGUUACCAUACAAUCACCGAAGUUAAGCAACGUCGAGCCUGGACAGUACCUAGAUGGGUGACUGCCUGGGAAUACCAGGUGCUGUAAG